AAAGUUUUUAUUUUACAUUAGCUAAGUGAAUGCCAAAUGAUGAACAAAAUCAUAACUUUUUUCACUAACACCACUAAUAAGUGCUAAUUAAUAUCACAAAAUACUCUAUAAGUAUAUCGAAACUACACUGACUGAACACAGAAGAUCAGCAAAGACUGUUUAUAAAUCAUUGAAACGCAUUGUUCAACAAUCAAAAUAUCAUAUAUUGCAAUGAUCCAUGCAAAUAUAAAAGCAGCUCAUCUGACUACAAUAAGUUUAAACUAUUGAAAAUAACAUAUUUGAAAAUUGGUUUACAAAACCAGAAGAUAAAUUCCGAUAUUGGUAGCAGAAUCAACACAAAAACUAAAACAUUUCAAACUUGGAGAGAUUGUUAAAAGAAAGACGUCAGUCAAACAUUUGUGGCUCACCCAUCUUGAACCAAUCAACGUAAGGAAUCUUGACCCCAUCCAUCUUCUCCUUUGCGAGCACAAGUUCAGUCUUUAGUUUCUUCUUCUCCUUCCUCCUUGCGUCUUUCUUGAAGAGUUCCUUGAGUAACUCUAAUUUACCUCGCACGCGAUAGACUUCACGCUCUUCAUAAUGCUUGGCUGUGAUGGCUUCCAAUUGGUUAUGGUACAUCAAGAGCAUGUCUCGGUAGUGCUCCCUACUCGCAUUCUUUACAUUGUUGAAAGCCUCUUCGAGAGAAUAACCGUAAUCUUCAACGAUCGGUUUUUGGAGCUUUAGAUCUCUGUUGAAUGCCAUCGGGAGAUCUUGUCUUGCAUGUGUACAAAAAAAAUAUUGAUUA
rnacentral:lncRNA from 1 species